rnacentral:rRNA from 1 species
UACGAAGGGGGCUAGCGUUGUUCGGAAUUACUGGGCGUAAAGCGCGCGCAGGUGGUCUUUCAAGUCAGUGGUGAAAGCCCGGAGCUCAACUCCGGAAAUGCCAUUGAAACUGUAAGACUUGAGGAUGAGAGAGGUGAGUGGAAUUCCCAGUGUAGAGGUGAAAUUCGUAGAUAUUGGGAAGAACACCGGUGGCGAAGGCGGCAUCCUGGACCGACACUGACGCUGAGGCGCGAAAGCUAGGGUAGCAAACGGG